GACGAACGCUGGCGGCGUGCUUAACACAUGCAAGUCGAACGAAGAGCGAUGGAAGCUUGCUUCUAUCAAUCUUAGUGGCGAACGGGUGAGUAACGCGUAAUUAACCUGCCCUUCAGAGGGGGACAACAGUUGGAAACGACUGCUAAUACCGCAUACGAUCUAAUCUCGGCAUCGAGGAUAGAUGAAAGGUGGCCUCUACAUGUAAGCUAUCACUGAAGGAGGGGAUUGCGUCUGAUUAGCUAGUUGGAGGGGUAACGGCCCACCAAGGCGAUGAUCAGUAGCCGGUCUGAGAGGAUGAACGGCCACAUUGGGACUGAGACACGGCCCAGACUCCUACGGGAGGCAGCAGUGGGGAAUCUUCCGCAAUGGACGAAAGUCUGACGGAGCAACGCCGCGUGAGUGAUGACGGCCUUCGGGUUGUAAAGCUCUGUUAAUCGGGACGAAAGGCCUUCUUGCGAAUAGUGAGAAGGAUUGAC
rnacentral:rRNA from 1 species